CCUGAAGUGGGGGAUAACCAUUGGAAACGAUGGCUAAUACCGCAUAAUACCUACGGGUCAAAGAGGGGGACCUUCGGGCCUCUCGCGUCAGGAUAUGCCUAGGUGGGAUUAGCUAGUUGGUGAGGUAAUGGCUCACCAAGGCGACGAUCCCUAGCUGGUCUGAGAGGAUGAUCAGCCACACUGGAACUGAGACACGGUCCAGACUCCUACGGGAGGCAGCAGUGGGGAAUAUUGCACAAUGGGCGCAAGCCUGAUGCAGCCAUGCCGCGUGUGUGAAGAAGGCCUUCGGGUUGUAAAGCACUUUCAGUCGUGAGGAAGGUAGUGUAGUUAAUAGCUGCAUUAUUUGACGUUAGCGACAGAAGAAGCACCGGCUAACUCCGUGCCAGCAGCCGCGGUAAUACGGAGGGUGCGAGCGUUAAUCGGAAUUACUGGGCGUAAAGCGCAUGCAGGUGGUUUGUUAAGUCAGAUGUGAAAGCCCGGGGCUCAACCUCGGAAUAGCAUUUGAAACUGGCAGACUAGAGUACUGUAGAGGGGGGUAGAAUUUCAGGUGUAGCGGUGAAAUGCGUAGAGAUCUGAAGGAAUACCGGUGGCGAAGGCGGCCCCCUGGACAGAUACUGACACUCAGAUGCGAAAGCGUGGGGAGCAAACAGGAUUAGAUACCCUGGUAGUCCACGCCGUAAACGAUGUCUACUUGGAGGUUGUGGCCUUGAGCCGUGGCUUUCGGAGCUAACGCGUUAAGUAGACCGCCUGGGGAGUACGGUCGCAAGAUUAAAACUCAAAUGAAUUGACGGGGGCCCGCACAAGCGGUGGAGCAUGUGGUUUAAUUCGAUGCAACGCGAAGAACCUUACCUACUCUUGACAUCCAGAGAACUUUCCAGAGAUGGAUUGGUGCCUUCGGGAACUCUGAGACAGGUGCUGCAUGGCUGUCGUCAGCUCGUGUUGUGAAAUGUUGGGUUAAGUCCCGCAACGAGCGCAACCCUUAUCCUUGUUUGCCAGCACUUCGGGUGGGAACUCCAGGGAGACUGCCGGUGAUAAACCGGAGGAAGGUGGGGACGACGU
rnacentral:rRNA from 1 species